CAUAGGUUAAUGAGGCGAACCGGGGGAACUGAAACAUCUAAGUACCCCGAGGAAAAGAAAUCAACCGAGAUUCCCCCAGUAGCGGCGAGCGAACGGGGAGCAGCCCAGAGCCUGAAUCAGUGUGUGUGUUAGUGGAAGCGUCUGGAAAGGCGCGCGAUACAGGGUGACAGCCCCGUACACAAAAAUGCACAUGCUGUGAGCUCGAUGAGUAGGGCGGGACACGUGGUAUCCUGUCUGAAUAUGGGGGGACCAUCCUCCAAGGCUAAAUACUCCUGACUGACCGAUAGUGAACCAGUACCGUGAGGGAAAGGCGAAAAGAACCCCGGCGAGGGGAGUGAAAAAGAACCUGAAACCGUGUACGUACAAGCAGUGGGAGCACGCUUAGGCGUGUGACUGCGUACCUUUUGUAUAAUGGGUCAGCGACUUAUAUUCUGUAGCAAGGUUAACCGAAUAGGGGAGCCGAAGGGAAACCGAGUCUUAACUGGGCGUUAAGUUGCAGGGUAUAGACCCGAAACCCGGUGAUCUAGCCAUGGGCAGGUUGAAGGUUGGGUAACACUAACUGGAGGACCGAACCGACUAAUGUUGAAAAAUUAGCGGAUGACUUGUGGCUGGGGGUGAAAGGCCAAUCAAACCGGGAGAUAGCUGGUUCUCCCCGAAAGCUAUUUAGGUAGCGCCUCGUGAAUUCAUCUCCGGGGGUAGAGCA
rnacentral:rRNA from 1 species